UACGGGGGGAGCAAGCGUUGUUCGGAUUUACUGGGCGUAAAGGGCGCGUAGGCGGCCACCGCAAGUCGAUUGUGAAAUCUCCGGGCUUAACUCGGAAAGGUCAACCGAUACUGCGGGGCUAGAGUGCAGAAGGGGCAACUGGAAUUCUCGGUGUAGCGGUGAGAUGCGUAGAUAUCGAGAGGAACACCUGCGGCGAAGGCGGGUUGCUGGGCUGACACUGACGCUGAUGUGCGAAAGCUAGGGGAGCGAACGGG
rnacentral:rRNA from 1 species